rnacentral:rRNA from 1 species
UACUAGAGUAGCACUCGCAUAUCAAUAAGCGGAGGAAAAGAAACUAACAAGGAUUCCCCUAGUAACGGCGAGUGAAGCGGGAAGAGCUCAAAUUUGAAAUCUUAAAGGGUUUCCCUUUACGAAUUGUAGUUCAAAGAAGUGUUUUCUGUUGAGGUUUUGGUAAAAGUUCUUUGGAAUAGGACAUCAUAGAGGGUGAGAAUCCCGUAUUUGACCUUUACUUUCAACUUUGUGAUACACUUUCAAAGAGUCGGAUUGUUUGGGAAUGCAGUCCAAAAUGGGUGGUAAAUUUCAUCUAAAGCUAAAUAUUGGCGAGAGACCGAUAGCGAACAAGUACCGUGAGGGAAAGAUGAAAAGAACUUUGAAAAGAGAGUUAAACAGUACGUGAAAUUGUCAAAAGGGAAGCGUUUGACACCAGUGUUGUUUUUCUGAAAAUCAAUUAAAGAACUGUUUAUGCUAAGUUGUUUAGACUUUAUCAGCUAUCUGCUUAGUUUUGAGCUUUUCUUUAAUGCACUUUUCAGUUAACAAGUCAACAUCAAUUUCUUUUGCUGUAAAAAAGCUUGAGGAAGGUGGCUUGAGAUUCGUCUUAAGUGUUUAUAGCCUCUUGCCUAUGCAGUCGGAGAGAUUGAGGUCUGCAGCGUAGAUCCUUCGGGGCUAAAUGCAUUUGUGCUAAGUUAUAGCAUUUUAUAGACAACUUGUUGACUAUGAUUUGUCUUGUAGCUUACUCGCUUAUGUUAUUUUACCUACGCUUAGGAUGUUGAACUCUAUCACACACAG